GAUAAUUUUCCCGUUAAGGAUCAUUAUCCAUGACGGGGCGGUUUGGCACCUCGAUGUCGGCUCAUCACAUCCUGGGGCUGGAACAGGUCCCAGGGGUUCGGGUGUUCGUUGAUUAAAGGGGUACGUGAGCCGGCUUUUUUUGUUCAGUUGAACCAGAUAUCGUUUUCCAGAUA
rnacentral:ncRNA from 1 species